rnacentral:rRNA from 1 species
AACGAACGCUGGCGGCAUGCCUAACACAUGCAAGUCGAACGAGACCUUCGGGUCUAGUGGCGCACGGGUGCGUAACGCGUGGGAACCUGCCCUUAGGUUCGGAAUCACUCCCCGAAAGGGGUGCUAAUAACGGAUAAUGUCUUCGGACCAAAGAUUUAUCGCCUUUGGAUGGGGCCGCGUUGGAUUAGCUAGUUGGUAGGGUAAAAGCAUACCAAGGCGACGAUGCAUAGCUGGUCUGAGAGGAGGAUCAGCCACACUGGGACUGAGACACGGCCCAGACUCCUACGGGAGGCAGCAGUGGGGAAUAUUGGACGAUGGGCGAAAGCCUGAUCCAGCAAUGCGGCGUGAGUGAUGAAGGCCUUAGGGUUGUAAAGCUCUUUUACCCGGGAUGAUAAUGACAGUACCGGGAGAAUAAGCUCCGGCUAACUCCGUG